UACAACUCCAUCAUGUUGUCCAUCAACUGUAUCACAUUCUCAAGUGGACACAUCACACUCACACAAGAGAUAUGUGGUUUUUCACUGUGACAUUAUUUCAAAGGGAAACAACAAUAGCUCACCUUGAAAAGCUAGAAAGUUGAUUUUAGCUCAAUCUAUGGUUUGCAUAAAGUGGAUCUCAUCAUUGUGGAGUUUCUUUCGGUAGUGUUUAUUUACUGUGUGAAAUCAAUUGCAGGACUUAUCUACGUGCAAGGAAACAUUGUCAACCCUUAAAGUCAUGCAGGGGCAAGGAGGCUAUCCACAACUAGAACUGGACAUAGCUCACCUUGAAAAGGAAAUUGAGUUAUAUUCACUGGAGAAGCUGUGUUAUGAAGCUCAAAUGAUGGUAUGGUAAAUGAGAAGGCUCCAUCUCCUUUUCAAAUAGGUCCAUUUCUCAGCUUCAAAAAUACAAUUGGGAAUGGAAUUUGUUCAGGAAGAAAUCAUAUGAGAGAGGCACGAGCGAACAAUGAAGCCAAAACUAAACUUGAGAGAAGCUGGGGAGCGAGAAGCUACCCUUGUUCAAGCACUUGAAUAACUGAGGCAGACUCUUAGUAGAACAGAGCAGCAGGCAGUUUUUAGAGAGGACAUGGUUCGAAGAGACAUUGAUGAUCUUCAAAGAUUGGGUGGAGGCAGCCAUGAUACGAUUGGAUAUGAGUGAAUAUAUAGAGCGGCAAAGAAAGUAGUUGGCAAGAUUAAAGUGGAAGGUUAGUUUUCAAUGGUAUAAACCGAAUGUGGGUGCUAAUUGAUGAAUUUUUAGGGAUUCUAUGCCCACUUUUUAGUCUUAAGCACAACCUGUGAAGUGAUAUGAGCUUAGCUAUAGGAACUUUCUGCUCAAGAUGCCACUCCUGCUUCCUUUCCCAUUCGAAGUUGUGAUGCUGCUACAAUUUUCUUUUUUCUAAGAAUUUCAACCAUUGUGGUAUUGGAUGCUCCAGGCCUGGUCAUAUGGAGAACUUUGUCUUGGUUUUUAAUUAAUUGUGGGCUUUUCUAUCAUAUUACUGUUCUUUUUAGAGAAUGUGCAAAUGAAGUGGUGAGCUUUCACAAUUUUUGCUUCAGUUAUUUUCUCUAGGAAUGCAACUAUAG